rnacentral:misc_RNA from 1 species
GAUGAAGAACGCAGCGAAAUGCGAUACUUGGUGUGAAUUGCAGAAUCCCGUGAACCAUUGAGUCUUUGAACGCAAGUUGCGCCCGAAGCCAUUAGGCCGAGGGCACGCCUGCCUGGGCGUCACACGUCGUUGCCCCCCCAUCUACUCCUUCGGGAUUGCGGGGGGCGGAUGAUGGCCUCCCGUGCGCCUCGUCGCGCGGUUGGCAUAAAUGCCAAGUCCUCGGCGACGCACGCCACGACAAUCGGUGGUUGCGAAACCUCGGUUGCCCGUCGUGUGCGGUCGUCGCGCAUCGAGGGCUCGAAAAAAUUGCCGGGCUCCGGCUCGGCUUUCAACGCGACCCCAGGUCAGGCGGGGUUACCCGCUGAAUUUAAGCAUAUCAAUAAGCGGAGGA